GGUUACUAGAUCAUGUCCUAAAAAUUAUUCAAUAAUCAAAAUGCUUUUAAUCAAAGUAGGCGUUGAAACAAAAAGGAAUGGUUACUAGAUCAGGUCCUAAAAAUUAUUCAAUAAUCAAAAUGCUUUUAAUCAAAGUAGGCGUUGAAACAAAAAGGAAUGGUUACUAGAUCAGGUCCUAAAAAUUAUUCAAUAAUCAAAAUGCUUUUAAUCAAAGUAUGCGUUGAAACAAAAAAAGUUUGGUUACUAGAUCAGGUCUUAAAAUUAUUCAAUAAUCAAAAUGCUUUUAAUCAAAGUAGGCGUUGUAACAAAAAGGAAUGGUUACUAGAUCAGGUCCUAAAAAUUAUUCAAUAAUCAAAAUGCUUUUAAUCAAAGUAGGCGUUGAAACAAAAAGGAAUGGUUACUAGAUCAGGUCCUAAAAAUUAUUCAAUAAUCAAAAUGCUUUUAAUCAAAGUAGGCGUUGAAACAAAAAGGAAUGGUUACUAGAUCAGGUCUUAAAAUUAUUCUAUAAUCAAAAUGCUUUUAAUCAAAGCAGGCGUUGAAACAAAAAGGAAUGGUUACUAGAUCAGGUCCUAAAAAUUAUUCAAUAAUCAAAAUGCUUUUAAUCAAAGCAGGCGUUGAAACAAAAAGGAAUGGUUACUAGAUCAGGUCUUAAAAUUAUUCAAUAAUCAAAAUGCUUUUAAUCAAAGCAGGCGUUGAAACAAAAAGGAAUGGUUACUAGAUCAGGUCCUAAAAAUUAUUCAAUAAUCAAAAUGCUUUUAAUCAAAGCAGGCGUUGAAACAAAAAGGAAUGGUUACUAGAUCAGGUCUUAAAAUUAUUCAAUAAUCAAAAUGCUUUUAAUCAAAGCAGGCGUUGAAACAAAAAGGAAUGGUUACUAGAUCAGGUCCAAAAAAUUAUUCAAUAAUCAAAAUGCUUUUAAUCAAAGUA